CCAUCCCAUGCCCGGUUGAUCCAGCCCCUGGAAAAUCCCUGCCUCGCUUUUUCCACCCGGUGCUGGUGAGGGAGGUGUUGGUGGCCAGAGGGAAUGAGGGAGGGGAAGGCUCCUGUGGUCCCAUCCUUGGGGAUCCCAGACCCCUGGAUAACCCAGAUGGAGCACCCCAGAGUGGGAUAAUCCAGGCAGGCACCACCACGAGCUCCUUCUGCCCUACAGGAGCCAGGGAGAAGCUCAGGAAGGACCAGCCUGAGGGACGACCCCAAGGAAAAGUGCCCUCCCUGCUCACCCCAGGCGGCAUCAGGAAAUGUCACCCUCGGUCCCCCAGGUCCAAAGGGCACCAAGGGCGAGCGGGGCCUCCCUGGCACCGCCGGUGGCAAAGGGCAGAAGGGCGACCGUGGCAUGGACUGCGUGCGCACCCACCCCGGCGGCCCCG